GUGCCAGCCUCCGCGGUAAUACCGGCAGCCCGAGUGAUGGCCGAUCUUAUUGGGCCUAAAGCGUCCGUAGCUGGGUCUGAAAGUCCAUCGGGAAAUCCACUCGCCCAACGAGUGGGCGUCCGACGGAAACUGCACAGCUUGGGACCGGAAGGCUCGAAGGGUACGUUCGGGGUAGGAGUGAAAUCCCAUAAUCCCGCACGGACCACCGAUGGCGAAAGCACUUCGAGAAAACGGAUCCGACAGUGAGGGACGAAAGCCAGGGUCUCCAACCGGAUUAGAAACCCCAGUGUCC
rnacentral:rRNA from 1 species